CACACACACACACACACACACACACACACGUGUUACAAUAAACAGCUCUUAUGCUUCUGUAUGAUUCUCAGUGCUUUCCAUUUGCGUGUCCACAGGUUGCUGUAAGUGGUGCUUGACUGCAGUUUGCUCUCAUUUCAAGUGGUUUGCUGUCACAAAGCCAACAGGAAGUCCGGCCAUGGUUGAGCCAACUGAAGAUGGGUUGAAGGUGGCGUCCUCGUUUCCUCUCGAUACAUGUUGGAAAAUGGAGACUUUAGCCACCAAGACUGACGUGCCUGGAAACUUCCCUUCACGGGGUUUGUGACUGAAAUGCGUGUGGUCGACGGGAAGCCUGACGAGUACGGCCUGAAUCAUUCCAUCAACACCGGACGGAGUGAAACCUUUGUUGAAAACAGAUUAUAUGGUAACGUUGCAUUUAGCUUCAGUAAACUGUGAAGUUACAGCAGCAGAUUUACAUCACGUGGCUUCACAGGAAGUAGUCUGGACCUCAGCGCUGAGGUUCAAGCAGCUCUGCUUGCAGACGGCAUCCUUCCUGAAAAUGUUCUUCAUCUUCCUAAAACCAGAACUUUUACAUUGGUGCUGAAGUUCUAUAUAAAAACAGCCUGAAAUACAAAGUGAUGUUGUGCACUGAUUACCUCACACUUUCCAUGUUUCCUUCUACAGAGGAGUGUCCGCCUGAGUGUUUUGUCUGAUCUGUUGUUGAUCGUCUCAUUGACACUGCAUGCAGAUCUGACACCAGGGCUGGACUGGGACAAAAAAUGGUCCCGGGCAUUUUGACUGGAGACCGGCCCCCCAGGAAGUAGACUGUUGGUCGAGUUAACCUCCUGAACAUCUACAACACACGGUGGAAACCUGACAUUAAGACAGAGA